rfam:Rattus norvegicus chromosome 5, whole genome shotgun sequence.
GGGGAUUUAGCUCAGUGGUAGAGCGCUUGCCUAGCAAGCACAAGGCCCUGGGUUUGGGCCCCAGCUCCG